ACGAACGCUGGCGGCGUGGAUAAGACAUGCAAGUCGAACGAGAGAAUUGCUAGCUUGCUAAUAAUUCUCUAGUGGCGCACGGGUGAGUAACACGUGAGUAACCUGCCCCCGAGAGCGGGAUAGCCCUGGGAAACUGGGAUUAAUACCGCAUAGUAUCGAAAGAUUAAAGCAGCAAUGCGCUUGGGGAUGGGCUCGCGGCCUAUUAGUUAGUUGGUGAGGUAACGGCUCACCAAGGCGAUGACGGGUAGCCGGUCUGAGAGGAUGUCCGGCCACACUGGAACUGAGACACGGUCCAGACACCUACGGGUGGCAGCAGUCGAGAAUCAUUCACAAUGGGGGAAACCCUGAUGGUGCGACGCCGCGUGGGGGAAUGAAGGUCUUCGGAUUGUAAACCCCUGUCAUGUGGGAGCAAAUUAAAAAGAUAGUACCACAAGAGGAAGAGACGGCUAACUCUGUGCCAGCAGCCGCGGUAAUACAGAGGUCUCAAGCGUUGUUCGGAAUCACUGGGCGUAAAGCGUGCGUAGGCUGUUUCGUAAGUCGUGUGUGAAAGGCGCGGGCUCAACCCGCGGACGGCACAUGAUACUGCGAGACUAGAGUAAUGGAGGGGGAACCGGAAUUCUCGGUGUAGCAGUGAAAUGCGUAGAUAUCGAGAGGAACACUCGUGGCGAAGGCGGGUUCCUGGACAUUAACUGACGCUGAGGCACGAAGGCCAGGGGAGCGAAAGGGAUUAGAUACCCCUGUAGUCCUGGCAGUAAACGGUGCACGCUUGGUGUGCGGGGAAUCGACCCCCUGCGUGCCGGAGCUAACGCGUUAAGCGUGCCGCCUGGGGAGUACGGUCGCAAGAUUAAAACUCAAAGAAAUUGACGGGGACCCGCACAAGCGGUGGAGUAUGUGGCUUAAUUCGAUGCAACGCGAAGAACCUUACCUGGGCUUGACAUGUAAUGAACAACAUGUGAAAGCAUGCGACUCUUCGGAGGCGUUACACAGGUGCUGCAUGGCCGUCGUCAGCUCGUGUCGUGAGAUGUUUGGUUAAGUCCAGCAACGAGCGCAACCCCUGUUGCCAGUUACCAGCACGUGAAGGUGGGGACUCUGGCGAGACUGCCCAGAUCAACUGGGAGGAAGGUGGGGACGACGUCAGGUCAGUAUGGCCCUUAUGCCCAGGGCUGCACACGUACUACAAUGCCCAGUACAGAGGGGGCCGAAGCCGCGAGGCGGAGGAAAUCCUUAAAACUGGGCCCAGUUCGGACUGUAGGCUGCAACCCGCCUACACGAAGCCGGAAUCGCUAGUAAUGGCGCAUCAGCUACGGCGCCGUGAAUACGUUCCCGGGUCUUGUACACACCGCCCGUCACAUCAUGGAAGCCGGUCGCACCCGAAGUAUCUGAAGCCAACCGCAAGGAGGCAGGGUCCUAAGGUGAGACUGGUAACUGGGAUG
rnacentral:rRNA from 1 species